rnacentral:rRNA from 1 species
GAGGAAUAUUGGUCAAUGGGCGCGAGCCUGAACCAGCCAAGUAGCGUGCAGGAUGACGGCCCUAUGGGUUGUAAACUGCUUUUGUAUGGGAAUAAAGUCAAUCACGUGUGAUUGUUUGCAGGUACCAUACGAAUAAGGACCGGCUAAUUCCGUGCCAGCAGCCGCGGUAAUACGGAAGGUCCGGGCGUUAUCCGGAUUUAUUGGGUUUAAAGGGAGCGUAGGCCGGAGAUUAAGUGUGUUGUGAAAUGUAGACGCUCAACGUCUGACUUGCAGCGCAUACUGGUUUCCUUGAGUACGCACAACGUUGGCGGAAUUCGUCGUGUAGCGGUGAAAUGCUUAGAUAUGACGAAGAACUCCGAUUGCGAAGGCAGCUGACGGGAGCGCAACUGACGCUUAAGCUCGAAGGUGCGGGUAUCGAACAGGAUUAGAUACCCUGGUAGUCCGCACAGUAAACGAUGGAUGCCCGCUGUUGGUACCUGGUAUCAGCGGCUAAGCGAAAGCAUUAAGCAUCCCACCUGGGGAGUACGCCGGCAACGGUG